UACGAAGGGGGCUAGCGUUGCUCGGAAUGACUGGGCGUAAAGGGCGCGUAGGCGGUUUGGACAGUCAGAUGUGAAAUUCCUGGGCUCAACCCGGGGGCUGCAUUUGAUACGUUCGGACUAGAGUGGGGAAGAGGGUCGUGGAAUUCCCAGUGUAGAGGUGAAAUUCGUAGAUAUUGGGAAGAACACCGGUGGCGAAGGCGGCGACCUGGUCCUUGACUGACGCUGAGGCGCGAAAGCGUGGGGAGCAAACAGG
rnacentral:rRNA from 1 species